GACGAACGCUGGCGGCGUGCUUAACACAUGCAAGUCGAGCGGUAAGGCCCUUUCGGGGGUACGACGAGCGGCGAACGGGUGAGUAACACGUGAGUGACCUGCCCUCAGCUCUGGGAUAAGCCUGGGAAACCGGGUCUAAUACCGGAUAUGACUCCAUGACGCAUGUUGUGGGGUGGAAAGCCUUGUGCGGCUGAGGAUGGGCCCGCGGCCUAUCAGCUUGUUGGG
rnacentral:rRNA from 1 species